rnacentral:lncRNA from 1 species
CACUAUCACAGUUUAAAGUAUGUAAUUGCUUCACAGGUAUGUAAGGAGACUCCUGAAUGAGACACCUUGCAAGAUCCAACCAGAGGAAAAAUCUAGAAAUAAGAGAGAACCACCCCCCCUAAAAAUACCACAAUCCUGCUCUGACAGAGGGACCUCAGACAAGCCCAGGAGCACACUCACAAUUAAUUAAACAAGGCCCUGUAUGGAUCGAACUGUGAUACAGGGCCACAGAAAGGCAGCAAUUUGCUCAAGGACAUGGAGGGCAGCGGUGAUGGAGCUGCAGAGGAAUCCUUGUUCCACCAGUUCCAGGCUGGUGAACCUGGGAAGAGAAAAGCAGCCGCUGAUUUAAUGGUGUGCAACGGGCUGAGACAAAGAGUGAAGCACCUGACUGUGUGAGCUGCAAGUAUGCCUGGCAAAAUGCAGGUGGUCAAAAUAGGUUGUGUGGGCUUGCAAUGCAGAGAAAUGGGGGAAAAACCUGUAUAUCUCCUGCCCACUUGUGAGUCUCACGCUUUCUCUGUUCUAUCUUUUAAAUACCUUUCCUU